CUAGCAAAUAAAAAUCAUAAAAUCUCCGACCAUUAUUACAUAUCUCUCUCACUCUCUCUCUCUACCUACGAUUGACAACAAGAACAAGAAAAUUGAAAUUUGUAGAGAAAAAAAGAAUCCAGAGGAUAUGGAUUCGAGUUUCUCCUCUCUGUUCUAUCAUCUUUUACUUCAAUUUAAUAAUGAACCCAGACCUCAAAUCUUCUUCUUUGAAGAAGAUGGCCGCUCAAUCUGAAAACUCCUCCUCUCUAUCAUCAUGAUAUCCUCUACUGCCACGAAGCCUAUUUUAACCCCCGAGAAGAUGACAAGAACAAGAACAGAACACUACAUUAGUAGCACCCAUUCUCAGAUCCACCACCUCCCCCAAGAAGAAGAAGAGAGAAGAGUUAGUCUUUCUUCUCUCAAAAGAGAAGAACACCAUACCAAUGCUGCUUCACCUUUACCGGUCCUUUAUAUCCAAGCUAGAAGAGAUGCUAUCGACUGGAUUUUGAAUGUCAUUGCCCAUUACUCUUUCUCCACUCUCACAGCCGGUUCUAUCUGUCAACUAUUUCGAUCGAUUCCUCUCCAUUUUCCAGAUUCAGAAAGAGAAACCAUGGAUGACCCAUCUCACGGCCGUUGCUUGUCUCUCUUUAGCUGCUAAAGUUGAAGAACCCAUGUCCCCCGUCUCUUGGACCUUCACAAGUAUGUUAUAAUUUCCAUACAGGCUACAUUUCCUGUUGUUUUUUUUCUUGCAUUUUUUUUUGAUACUUUGACUGUAAAAAUAAGGUUUGAAGAGACACGAUAUUUGUUUGAGGCAAAAACAGUACAAAGAAUGGAGAUUCUGGUUUGUCUACCCUCCAUUGGAGGAUGAAUCCGACGACCCCCACUUGAUUUUCUUAACCACAUUGCAAGAAAGCUAGGCUUAAAUGGAAAUCUCUUCUGUCAAUUUCUCAGUAGAUGCGAAAGCCAUAUUAUGUCACUCCUUUCUGAUUAUAGAUUUGUGGGUUAUCUUCCUUCUGUAAUCGCUACUUCCACAUGCUGUUCAUCAUCGGUGGAGGAAUUGCAGAGGCUUGUUUGACGGGCAGAAUACCAAUCACAGGCUUUUCGGCGGAUCUUGAAAUCGAUAAGGUUAGUUAGCUAGCUAGCUAAAUGAUUUGUGUGAUUAAAAGAAUUAAAAUGAUACUGAUUGAUUGAUCGAUCGAUUAUAUAUAUCAUCAGGAUAAAGUAAAGGAAUGCUGUAAAGUAAUGUUGGAAUCAGCUUCCGAGAAGGAAACGCAAGAACCGAUGUCUACCGGGAAGUCCUAAUGGGGUGAUGGACGCAGCGUUUAGCUGCGAAAACUCCAGCGAUUCGUGGGCGGUGGGUGGUGGUGGUGAUGGUGGUUCUUCUUCUUCGCCGGAGCGAGCAGUGAAGAAGGGAAGAACAGGGGUGGAGGAGGAUGUUUUCUGGUUUGACUGUUCUUCUUCUUCUUCUUCUUAUGAGUAGUAAUAAUGUUUGUUUUAUCUUGAUAGUAGUAAAUGGAGGAUCUUGAUUCCUCCUAAUAAGGAUUAGCGCGACAUAAGAUGAAAGUUUGUCGUUAAAUUGUCGGAUUUUGGAUCCAAUCGUUAAUCAUCGGCAAAUGUUUGAAGGAAUUCUUGUUGUUGUUAUUGUUGGAUUACUAUCAACUUUUAGUUAAUCUAAACUUGUUAUUUCCCUUCUAAUAAUUCAUCUUUUUGUCUUAUUCAA